AUUGAACGCUGGCGGCAUGCUUUACACAUGCAAGUCGAACGGCCGCGCGGGCUUCGGCCUGGCGGCGAGUGGCGAACGGGUGAGUAAUGCAUCGGAACGUGCCCAGUAGUGGGGGAUAGCCCGGCGAAAGCCGGAUUAAUACCGCAUACGACCUGAGGGUGAAAGCGGGGGACCGAAAGGCCUCGCGCUAUUGGAGCGGCCGUUGUCGGAUUAGCUAGUUGGUGGGGUAAAGGCUUACCAAGGCGACGAUCCGUAGCUGGUCUGAGAGGACGACCAGCCACACUGGGACUGAGACACGGCCCAGACUCCUACGGGAGGCAGCAGUGGGGAAUUUUGGACAAUGGGGGCAAGCCUGAUCCAGCCAUGCCGCGUGAGGGAAGAAGGCCUUCGGGUUGUAAAACGCUUUUGUUCGGGAAGAAAUCCUCUGGGCUAAUACCCCGGGGGGAUGACGGUACCGGAAGAAUAAGCACCGGCUAACUACGUG
rnacentral:rRNA from 1 species